UACGUAGGGUGCGAGCGUUAAUCGGAAUUACUGGGCGUAAAGCGUGCGCAGGCGGUUUUGUAAGCCAGAUGUGAAAUCCCCGGGCUCAACCUGGGAAUGGCAUUUGGGACUGCAAGGCUGGAGUUUGGCAGAGGAGACUGGAAUCCCGGUGUAGCAGUGAAAUGCGUAGAUAUCGGGAGGAAUACCGAUGGCGAAGGCAGGUCUCUGGGCUAUAACUGACGCUCAUGCACGAAAGCGUGGGGAGCAAACAGG
rnacentral:rRNA from 1 species